CCUACGGGGGGCAGCAGUAGGGAAUAUUGCUCAAUGGGGGAAACCCUGAAGCAGCAACGCCGCGUGGAGGAUGAAGGUUUUCGGAUUGUAAACUCCUUUUGUUAGAGAAGAUAAUGACGGUAUCUAACGAAUAAGCACCGGCUAACUCGGUGCCAGCAGCCGCGGUAAUACGGAGGGUGCAAGCGUUACUCGGAAUCACUGGGCGUAAAGAGCGCGUAGGCGGGAUAGCAAGUCAGAUGUGAAAGCCUAGGGCUUAACCAUAGAACUGCAUUUGAAACUGUUAUUCUAGAGUAUGGGAGAGGUAGGUGGAAUUCUUGGUGUAGGGGUAAAAUCCGUAGAGAUCAAGAGGAAUACUCAUUGCGAAGGCGACCUGCUAGAACAUAACUGACGCUGAUGCGCGAAAGCGUGGGGAGCAAACAGGAUUAGAUACCCCAGUAGUC
rnacentral:rRNA from 1 species